AAUAGAAGCUUUAAAAAACUAGCUGCGUACAGAACCUCAGUGCUGCCAAUGCUUCUCCUAAACCCCUUUUGCCUUAAUAACAUUUUUUAAGUUUAAAUUUUCUAUUUUUUCCUUAGUAAUAUGUUAUUAUAAGUAGCCACACAUAAGUAUCAUGACAUGUUUAAGACAACCAAUUUAAAUAUCAUUUUUUUUCUCUCGUAAAUUCCAAUGCAUAAUCAAGUAGUAUCACAUAAAAUGAAAGGGAAUGAGUAAUAAUUUUA
rnacentral:lncRNA from 1 species